rnacentral:lncRNA from 1 species
UUUUGUAAUGUGGUUCAGAUUUCUGUAGAAAUUCUGGCUGUAUCUACAUUGCCUUAAAGUAAUGGUAUAUUUCUCUUUUUCUUUUUCUUUUUCUUUUUUUUUUUUUCAGCUGGAGUUUCGCUCUUGUCACCCAUAGUGGAGUGCAAUGGUGUGAUCUCAGCUCACUGUAACCUCUGCCUCCCAAGUUCAAGUGAUUCUCCUAGCUCAGCCUCCUGAGUACCUGGGAUUAUAAGCAUCUGCCACAAUGCCUGGCUAAUAUUUGUAUUUUUAGUAGAGAUGGGGUUUCACCAUGUUGGCCAGACUGGUCUCGAACUCCUGACCUUGUGAUCUGCCUGCCUCAGUCAGUGUUGGGAUUACAGGUGUGAGCCACUGUGCCCAGCCUGUCUUUUCUUUCCAAAGCCACCCUUGGUGAUUAAAUGUUAAAUAUGUACUAAUGGAUAUUACUUUGCUGAAUAUUGCCUAGUGAAUAUUAAGUAUUUAUUCUCACCUUGCAGACAUGAACUUGUGAGUUCGACACAUGAAGAUUUACAACUUGAUAAACCAGCUUCAGGAGUAAAGGAAGAAUGGUAUGCCAGAAUCACUAAAUUAAGAAAGAUGGUGGAUCAGCUUUUCUGCAAAAAAUUUUGUAACUCCAGUUGGACUCCACUGUUUCCAAGUCGACUUUCGUCCUUAUCCACAGCUCCUCCACACGAGCCCUGAACACCUGUUCAUUUGAAGCUCUUGGACUCACUGAGGCAGUAAAAGUACCAUAUCCUGUGUUUGAAUCAAACCCCGAGUUCCUGUAUGUAGAAGCCUUGCCAGACAGGAUUUCCUUUCAAAGCCCUCUUGGUUUGGAAUUCCAUGACUUGAAAGGAUCGUCCAUGGAGGUAAUAAAAUCAAGUUUGUUGUUAAAAAAGUGAGUUCCAGGCCGGGUAUGGUGGCUCACGCCUGUAAUCCCAGCACUUUGGGAGGCCAAGCCAGGCGAAUCACCUGAGGUCAGGAGUUUGAGACCAGCCUGGCCAACAUCUCUACUAAAAAUGCAAAAAAUAAGCCAGGCAUGGUGGCUGGUGCCUGUAAUCGCAGCUACUUGGGAGGCUGAAGCAGGAGAAUCGCUUGAAGCUGGGAGGCAGAGGCUGCGGUGAGCUGAGAUCACAGCACUGUACUCCAGACUCUUAAGUCUGGAGUGAGACUCUGCCUCAACAACAACAAUAAUAAAAAAGUAGGUUCUAUUUGCCACUGUAGUCAUUUCUGGAAUUAAAAUAAUCAACUGACAUUUCUACUAAA